rnacentral:miRNA from 1 species
UUGAAGAGGAGGUGCUCUGUAGC